GAUGAACGCUGGCGGCGUGCCUAAUACAUGCGAGUCGAGCGAACAGACGAGGAGCUUGCUCCUUUGACGUUAGCGGCGGACGGGUGAGUAACACGUGGAUAACCUACCUAUAAGACUGGGAUAACUUGGGGAAACCGGAGAUAAUACCGGAUAAUAUAUUGCACCGUAUGGUUCAAUAGUGAAAGACGGCUUUGCUGUCACUUAUAGAUGGAUCCCGGCGGCAUUAGCUGGUUGGUAAGCUAACGGCUUAUCAAGGCAACGAUGCGUAGCCGACCUGAGAGAGUGGUCGGCCACACUGGAGGUGAACCACGGUCCAGACUCCUGCGGGAGGCAGCAGUAGGGAAUGUGACGCAGUAGGCGAGAGCCUGGCGGAGCGACGCCGCGUGUGUGAUAGAGGUCUUCGGAUCGUAAUGCUCUGUUAUUAGGGGAGAACAGAUGUGUAAGUAACUGUACACGGCUUGACGGUACCGGGUCAAGAAGCAACGGCUAACUACGUG
rnacentral:rRNA from 1 species